AUUAUGAUUGAUUGACUUCAUAUUAUCGAAGGUGGGAUCUCUCAAUAGCAUGGUCGUGUUAUGUCCCAGAUUUAGAACGUGACAUUUUAUGAUAUCAGAGUAAUAGGCUCAAUCAUGGAUCAAACUUUAAGUCUAACUGUGGAUAAUUAGGUCUCAUUUAGCUAGAUCACGUUUAACUGAAUAAGAAUAGAUAAGUUUUCUUAGAGUUCUUGUUGUUCAUCUAAUUAAGGAAGUUAAUUAAUACUAAUAUUUUUGAUGGGUGAUGUGAGCAAUAGGGAGGACGAAGUCUUGACAAACCUUACCACUAGGAAGAGAGGAGCAAGAAGGACUACGAGGGGAGAUGCCAACCAGUUGGUUGAGCAAGCUCAUAAUAUCUCAGACUACUCAAAUAGACAUUACUAGAAAAUGUCAGGUGGUGGCUCAGCUUUUUUAACAACAACAACAGCUACAAACUGCACAGUAGGUCCAUAGUACCACAUUUAACCCCUGCACAGUAGGUCCAUAGUAUUAAGUUCUAGAAUAAUCAAUGUUAAUUACCAACAUAUAAUCCCUAUAUGGUAGGAUCCAUAAUGUAGGUAGACUAAGAGUUCAGUAUAUG
rnacentral:lncRNA from 1 species